CACCUGCGAGCGAGCGAGCGGGACACCCCGUCAGCGCCCGCACCGCACCACGGGCACCCAGGCACACCCCCCCAACUCCAUGCACCCCCCGCCCAGGCACAGACACAGACACCCAGACACAACACCACCACCCCCCCCGCAGGCACACACACAACUCCAGGCACCCUUCCCCCAGGCACACACGCACACACUUAGACAUACACACACGCUCACACAUCCCCAGACACCCCCUAGACACACACACACCCCACACACAUACUCAAACACCCCCAGACACCGCCCCCCCGAUACAUACACACACCGUGCCCCCCCCACACCCCUCCCUAGACCUACACACACACACACUCGGACCCCCCCCAACCCAGAUACAGACAUAUCCCCCACACACAGUCACCCCCCUAGACAUACACACCCCUCACACACACACACUCAGACACCCCCUAGACAUACACGAACAGAUACACACCCCUGCAGACACACACAGAUGCACACCCCCACACCCAUCCCCCAAACAUACACCCCCCAGAUACAACCCCCACAUACCCCAUACUCCCCACACACCCCUCCCUAGACAGACACCCCCCCACACGCACACCCAGAUACACACAUACACAAACAUACCCCCACACACGGACACCCCCCCCCACACACACACACACUCGGACACCUCACAGACACCCCCCCCACACACACACACAGACACUGACACCACCCCAGACAUACAUACACACACAUCCCAUACCCCUUCUUAGACAUACACACCCUCAUACACACUCGGGCACCCCCCCGACACACACAUACACAAACACCCCCCACAUACCCCCAUUUCCCCCCACAGACACCCCCCCUAGACAUACACCCCACACACACUCAGAAGCCCCCCCAAACACCCCCCCACAGACACGUUCCAGACAUACACCCCCUCACACGGCCCCCAGAUACCCGCACCCCCUCCCAGAUGCACCCCCAAGCCCUCCCCUAGACACACCCCCCUCAGACACGCAGCCCCCCCCCCCGCAUACGCACCUCCCCAGACACACUUGCACACACACCGCUGCCCCCCCCCCGGGCACGCACAGGGGCAGCAGGGGGGCUGCGGGGCGACUCGUGGCCGGGGCUGGCAGAGUUGAGCGGGGAGGGGGCAGGGAAGGACCCGGCCGGGAGCGGGGCACGAGCCGGGCAGCAGCCCCCCGCGCCCGGGGACAGGCGGCUCCAUCAGGUGACGGCGUCGGGAUCAUUUGUUACAUGAAGAGCAACAUCCAGAGUAUCAGCAUUGCUUACAGCCACACCGUGCAGUUUUCCUCCACAAGUGAGAUGAAUAAACACAUCCAAGGUAGCUCGAGGAAGGUAAAAGAGCAAGAAGAAGAGAGCUAGGCUCUCCCUUGGAAGCAGAGCUUUCUCCCUCUGCUAUGGUGCUGUGGGAACUUGUUUCCUUCACCAAGGUUUGUAACUGAGUUAAAAGAAAUCCUCCAAAAAUAUCAGGAUCCAGUCUCUGGGAGGAGCUUCUGAGUCCCUUGCAGCCAAUAUCCUUCUGCCCAUUUGUGCCUGACAGUUUUGUACGGAAAGGGAAGACUGUGGCUCGGUAACACUCCUUGGUCAGCAGAGGAGCUGCAAAACGUUUGUAACCGACGCCUCUGAAGGCUUUGAAAACACUGCCAGAGCCUCACUGCAGUCCUGUGCCAUACCUUAGCUGCUGAAGGGGGUCCAUUUUAUUUUGCAGUAUUUCUUGAUUGGCAUUUGUACAUUUUUUUUUUUGCUUGCUUCCUUCAAAAACAGAAGAAGGAAAACAAUAACAAAUAAACAAUAAAAAACCCUUGUUGCUUCCACUGCAGUUAUUGGUUAGUUGCCAAUCCUCAGGGCUUUCACGAAGGUGAUUUUGCAAGCCUGCCAAAUUCUGUUCAAGUAAGUAUGAAAGGGAAGCAAGCUGGGAUGUUUUGCCCCUUCUACCUCAAUCAAUGCUAUUUCUUUCCCUCUUGUAAUUUUAGGUAUACUGAUUUAAUUUGCAAUCAAGGCUUAUUAAAUGAUUUGUUAACAAUAA